rnacentral:rRNA from 1 species
UACGUAGGGGGCUAGCGUUGUCCGGAUUUAUUGGGCGUAAAGAGCUCGUAGGCGGCUCGGUAAGUCGGAUGUGAAACCUCCAGGCUCAACCUGGAGACGCCAUCUGAUACUGCCGUGGCUUGAGUCCGGUAGAGGAGCAGGGAAUUCCUGGUGUAGUGGUGGAAUGCGUAGAUAUCGGGAGGAACACCGGUGGCGAAGGCGGGGUCUCUGGGCAUCUCCUGACGCUGAGGCGCGAAAAGCGUGGGGGGAGCAAACGGGG